GAGGAAUUAUAGGGAGUCUCCAAAACUUUAGUUGGGAGUUCGAUUCUCUCAUCCCCUGCCA
rnacentral:tRNA from 1 species